ensembl:lncRNA
GGCCGCGCGCUUGAGCUGAAGUGGGGAAGUGGACAGCGCUGUGCUGGUGUCGCGGUGCGCGCAGCCUCUUCGGCAGGCUCCACAGUGCCCCUUUCUUCGCGAGUUAAAAACCGCAUCACACAUUUAAACUGCGGUUCUUUGCUGUUAAAAACAGAGAACUAAACUGUAACAGCAGAAAGCGGAGACUACAAUUUCACGCACGACGCCAGCGGAAGGACGGACGCACGGACGGACGGUGGACGGAAACAGAGACAAACCGUGACCGCUGAGAGCAGGCAGCAUGGGGAAGGCCCUAAACAGAGAGUGUGGGAUGAGGGCAGAAGAGAUCAGGAGCUUCCUCUGGUCAACACAAUAGGACCAUCAGCUCGAAUAAGAGAGAAGAGCCAGACUUGUGGAGACCAAUCAGCCAACCGCAUGGUGCAUUCCCUUAGUAGUGUAAUCUGCUCUGAAGUAGUGGACAUACUGUGAGAGGCCGUCCCCAGCCCCAGGCAAAAACGUGUAUAUAUAU